UGUUUUUGCAUUGGAUUGAGAACAACGUACAAACCUUAUCGAUAAACAAUUGGAGGGCAAGUCUGGUGCCAGCAGCCGCGGUAAUUCCAGCUCCAAUAGCGUAUAUUAACGUUGUUGCAGUUAAAAAGCUCGUAGUUGAAAUGAAGGGUAGUUGUGUAAUGAAUACAUUCGUGUAUUUUGUUAUUCAAGUACCCUCCUUCUAAAUUCGAUAUAUGAGUAUUAAUUUACUUGUAUAUGGUUUUAGACGUUUACUGUGAGAAAAUUAGAGUGUUCAAAGCAGGCAUUUGCUUGAAUAUAUUAGCAUGGAAUAAUCAUGUAUGAUUUUCAUGAUGUAUUUGAUUGGUUUGGUUCAUGAGAAUAAGAUUAAAAGGGACAGUUGGGGGUAUUCAUAUUCAAUAGUCAGAGGUGAAAUUCUCGGAUUUAUGGAAGAUGAACAAGUGCGAAAGCA
rnacentral:rRNA from 1 species